UACGUAGGGUGCAAGCGUUGUCCGGAAUUAUUGGGCGUAAAGAGCUCGUAGGCGGUCUGUCACGUCGGCUGUGAAAACUCGGGGCUCAACCCCGAGCCUGCAGUCGAUACGGGCAGACUAGAGUCCGGCAGGGGGAGACUGGAAUUCCUGGUGUAGCGGUGAAAUGCGCAGAUAUCAGGAGGAACACCGGUGGCGAAGGCGGGUCUCUGGGCCGGAACUGGACGCUGAGAGACGAAAGCUAGGGGAGCGAAUGGG
rnacentral:rRNA from 1 species